UCCCUCUAUCCCCAAUAA
rnacentral:tRNA from 3 species